ACCAAGCGGUGGAGUAUGUGGUUUAAUUCGAUGCAACGCGAAGAACCUUACCUGGUCUUGACAUCCCGGAGACCCUUAGGAAACUAGGGGGUGCUUCCAUCUGGAAGAAUCUGGAGACAGGUGCUGCAUGGCUGUCGUCAGCUCGUGUCGUGAGAUGUUGGGUUAAGUCCCGCAACGAGCGCAACCCUUGCCUUUAGUUGCCAGCAGUUCGGCUGGGCACUCUAAAGGGACUGCCGGUGUUAAACCGGAGGAAGGUGGGGAUGACGUCAAGUCCUCAUGGCCUUUAUGACCAGGGCUACACACGUACUACAAUGGCCGAUACAAAGGGCAGCGACACUGCGAGGUGAAGCCAAUCCCGUAAAAUCGGUCUCAGUCCGGAUUGGAGUCUGCAACUCGACUCCAUGAAGUUGGAAUCGCUAGUAAUCGUGGAUCAGCAUGCCACGGUGAAUACGUUCCCGGGCCUU
rnacentral:rRNA from 1 species